rnacentral:rRNA from 1 species
AGUAGUUUGAUCAUGGCUCAGAACGAACGCUGGCGGCAUGCCUAACACAUGCAAGUCGAACGAUGCCUUCGGGCAUAGUGGCGCACGGGUGCGUAACGCGUGGGAAUCUGCCCUUGGGUUCGGAAUAACUCAGAGAAAUUUGAGCUAAUACCGGAUGAUGACGUAAGUCCAAAGAUUUAUCGCCCAAGGAUGAGCCCGCGUAAGAUUAGCUAGUUGGUGGGGUAAAGGCCUACCAAGGCGACGAUCUUUAGCUGGUCUGAGAGGAUGAUCAGCCACACUGGGACUGAGACACGGCCCAGACUCCUACGGGAGGCAGCAGUGGGGAAUAUUGGACAAUGGGCGAAAGCCUGAUCCAGCAAUGCCGCGUGAGUGAUGAAGGCCUUAGGGUUGUAAAGCUCUUUUACCAGGGAUGAUAAUGACAGUACCUGGAGAAUAAGCUCCGGCUAACUCCGUG